rnacentral:rRNA from 1 species
AUUGAACGCUGGCGGUAUGCUUAACACAUGCAAGUCGAACGGAAACGAUACUAGCUUGCUAGUAGGCGUCGAGUGGCGGACGGGUGAGUAACGCGUAGGAAUCUGCCUGAUAGUGGGGGAUAGCCCAGAGAAAUCUGGAUUAAUACCGCAUAAUCUCUAUGGAGAAAAGGAGCCCUCUUCUUGAAAGGUUUCGCUAUCAGAUGAGCCUGCGUAAGAUUAGCUUGUUGGUGAGGUAAAAGCUCACCAAGGCGACGAUCUUUAGCUGGUCUGAGAGGAUGAUCAGCCACACUGGGACUGAAACACGGCCCAGACACCUACGGGAGGCAGCAGUGGGGAAUAUUGGACAAUGGGCGCAAGCCUGAUCCAGCAAUACCGCGUGUAUGAAGAAGGCCUGAGGGUUGUAAAGUACUUUCAAUUGUGAAGAAAAGCUAAUGGUUAAUACCCAUUAGCCUUGACGUUAACUUUAGAAGAAGCACCGGCUAACUCCGUGCCAGCAGCCGCGGUAAUACGGAGGGUGCAAGCGUUAAUCGGAAUUACUGGGCGUAAAGCGUGCGUAGGUGGUUUGUUAAGUUAGAUGUGAAAGCCCUGGGCUCAACCUAGGAACUGCAUUUAAAACUGGCGAACUAGAGUAUAGGAGAGGAAAGUGGAAUUUCAGGUGUAGCGGUGAAAUGCGUAGAUAUCUGAAGGAACAUCAAUGGCGAAGGCAGCUUUCUGGACUAAUACUGACACUGAGGUACGAAAGCGUGGGUAGCAAACAGGAUUAGAUACCCUGGUAGUCCACGCCGUAAACGAUGACAACUAGCCGUUGGGGGGGUUUACCCCUUAGUGGCGAAGCUAACGCGUUAAGUUGUCCGCCUGGGGAGUACGGCCGCAAGGCUAAAACUCAAAGGAAUUGACGG